rnacentral:rRNA from 1 species
ACCAGACUCCUACGGGGGCAGCAGUGGGGAAUAUUGCACAAUGGGGGAAACCCUGAUGCAGCGACGCCGCGUGAGCGAUGAAGUAUUUCGGUAUGUAAAGCUCUAUCAGCAGGGAAGAAAAUGACGGUACCUGACUAAGAAGCCCCGGCUAACUACGUGCCAGCAGCCGCGGUAAUACGUAGGGGGCAAGCGUUAUCCGGAUUUACUGGGUGUAAAGGGAGCGUAGACGGCUGUGCAAGCCAGAUGUGAAAGCCCGGGGCCCAACCCCUGGACUGCUCUGGAAACUGCGUCGCUGGAGUACGGGAGGGGCAGGCGGAAUUCCUGGUGUAGCGGUGAAAUGCGUAGAUAUCAGGAGGAACACCAGUGGCGAAGGCGGCCUGCUGGACGACAACUGACGGUGAGGCGCGAAAGCGUGGGGAGCAAACAGGAUUAGAUACCCCGUUA